rnacentral:rRNA from 1 species
AUGGAAUUGAGGGUGCCUCAUAUGCUUCAUAUUUUUAAUGUCUUUCAUGAAAAUAAGGAUUCUGAUAAUUAUGCUCAAUUGCUAGAGGAAGAAUGUAUUAGAAUGUUUUGCACUAAAUCUUUGAAUGAUGAGCAUGAUUGCAAUGUUGUUAGUAUGAAUUCCUUGAAUAUCCAUGAUGCUAAUGAUAUGCGAAGCCACAAGCUUGGGGAUGCUAUAUUUCAUGAAGAUGAUAUUUUUAGUCCCCCAAGUUUUGAUGAGAAUAUUUAUUAUGAUGAAACCAUGCUUCCUAUUUAUGAUGAUUAUAUUGAUGAAAUUGGAUUUGGAGAGGUCAUGACUUUAUUUAAUGAUGAAUCCACUAUUUCAGAAGAGGUUCCAAAUGAUUAUGAGAAUAAAGUUCCUACCUAUGAUGAUUAUUGUGAUGACAUGUAUGCUAUAAAAAACAAUGAUAACCAUGAAACUUGUCAUCUUGAUUUUAAUCUUCAAUUGGAUUAUGCCUUACAUGAUAGUUAUUUUGUUGAGUUUGCUCUCAUUACUAUUCAUGAGAAGAAUUUUGCUUAUGUGGAGAGUAAUAAAAUUUCUAUGCUUGUAGAUCACAAAAAAUGCUUUAUGUGA